GCGAAUGCGACUCCCCACGCCUCACACACAUCCCCAUCGUCCCCAUCGACAUACCCAUCCCCAUCUACUGCUCUCGGCUUAUUCGGCUCGUCCCCAAUGAAGCCGACGAGUCUCAUCGACUCGGCUUCGGGUUGGCNCGGCUUAUUCGGCUCGUCCCCAAUGAAGCCGACGAGUCUCAUCGACUCGGCUUCGGGCUGGCGCGAGCCGAUCCUCGGCUCGGACAAGCUGAGCCACGAGAUCUUCUCCUUCCUCGAGUCCCGCUUCCUCUUCGGCCCGGGCGAAACCCUAACCCUAGACUGCGGCGGCGGCGGCGGAGGGAGAGGGAGGGGGAGGGUGCGGAUCCUCUCCAUCGACGGCGGGGGCGGGGGCGGGGAGCUCGCGGCGGCGGCGCUCGCGCGGCUCGAGGCGCGGCUCCGGGAGCUCUCGGGGAACCCUAGCGCCCGCAUCGUCGACUUCUUCGACCUCGCCGCGGGGUCCGGCGCCGGCGCCGUCCUCGCCGCCGCGCUCUUCACCCGCGGGAGCGUCUCCGCCGCCGACGCCGCCG
rnacentral:lncRNA from 1 species